ACCGUAAGUUGCGCCUCGUUCGGU
rnacentral:siRNA from 1 species